rnacentral:rRNA from 1 species
UACAGAGGGUGCGAGCGUUGUCCGGAAUCACUGGGCGUAAAGGGCGCGUAGGCGGCUUUUCAAGCGUGCGGUGAAAGCUCGGGGCUUAACUCCGAGUCUGCCGUGCGAACUGGGAGGCUUGAGUCUGGUAGAGGUCGAUGGAAUUCCGGGGUGUAGCGGUGGAAUGCGUAGAGAUCGGGAAGAACAUCAGUGGCGAAGGCGGCCUGCUGGGCUGUUGCUGACGCUGAGGCGCGACAGCGUGGGGAGCAAACAGG